UACGGAGGAUCCAAGCGUUAUCCGGAAUCAUUGGGUUUAAAGGGUCCGUAGGCGGUUUUAUAAGUCAGUGGUGAAAUCUGGUAGCUCAACUAUCGAACGGCCAUUGAUACUGUAGAACUUGAAUUAUUGUGAAGUAACUAGAAUAUGUAGUGUAGCGGUGAAAUGCUUAGAUAUUACAUGGAAUACCAAUUGCGAAGGCAGGUUACUAACAAUACAUUGACGCUGAUGGACGAAAGCGUGGGGAGCGAACAGG
rnacentral:rRNA from 1 species